GAUGAACGCUGGCGGCGUGCCUAAUACAUGCAAGUCGAGCGAACGGACGAGAAGCUCGCUUCCCUGAUGUUAGCGGCGGACGGGUGAGUAACACGUGGAUAACCUACCUAUAAGACUGGGAUAACUUCGGGAAACCGGAGCUAAUACCGGAUAAUAUUUUGAACCGCAUGGAUCAAAAGUGAAAGACGGUCUUGCUGUCACUUAUAGAUGGAUCCGCGCUGCAUUAGCUAGUUGGUAAGGUAACGGCUUACCAAGGCAACGAUGCAUAGCCGACCUGAGAGGGUGAUCGGCCACACUGGAACUGAGACACGGUCCAGACUCCUACGGGAGGCAGCAGUAGGGAAUCUUCCGCAAUGGGCGAAAGCCUGACGGAGCAACGCCGCGUGAGUGAUGAAGGUCUUCGGAUCGUAAAACUCUGUUAUUAGGGAAGAACAUAUGUGUAAGUAACUGUGCACGUCUUGACGGUACCUAAUCAGAAAGCCACGGCUAACUACGUG
rnacentral:rRNA from 1 species